UCAAUGGUUAAAAUUACAUAUAUAGCAACAUCGAUCUAAUUGGCACUUCAUAAGGGUGGUUUAGUUUACUUUGGUAGGAGAGAAAGAAAAGGAGGAAAUGGAGGAAGCAGUUUUUCUUAAGACGGUGAAGAAGAGCAAAGGUGAAAUAAUUGGUUCUUCUUCUGCAACAUACUGUGUUACCGGAGCAACUGGGUACCUUGGUUCAUGGCUUGUGGAGGCUCUUCUUGAAAGAGGGUACACUGUUCAUGCCACUGUUAGAGAUCAUGACAGCAAUGGGAAGUAAUCGUACUUAAUGAAGGGUUGUCUUCACAUCUUCAUUAAGUACGAUUACUUUUAAAGACAGCAAUGGGAAGUGGAAACCUCUUGUUGAUGAAUCUUGCCAAAUCCAAAGUGAACUUGUGUUGAAAACACAAGCAAGUGGGUGGUUUAUGCACUUUCAAAGCUUCUAACAGAAGAGGCAGCAUUUAAGUUUGCAAAAGAGAAUGGCAUUGAUCUUGUGUCAGUCAUAACAACCACUGUUGCUGGCCCAUUCUUCACUGCUAGUGUACCAUCAAGUGUUAAAGUCCUACUGUCACCAAUAACAGAUGAACCUGAGUUCUUCAAGAUAUUAUCUGCUGUAAAUGCACGAAUAGGGUCAAUUGCUUUAGUUCACAUUGAAGAUAUAUACAGUGCGCACAUAUUCCUAAUGGAGCAUUCUAAUGCAGAAGGUCGAUACAUAUGCAGCAGCCAAAGUUGUCCAUUGUCUAUGUUGGCUAAUCUUCUUGCCAAAGAGCAUUCCUACUCAAAUAAGAAAAGGCAACGUUUGAGAAAUUAGCGUAUGCACUGACAGUAUAAAUGAUUUUUACAGUUUUCAUCUAAUUACAACCUGUCAUAUGGUAAGUUUGUUGAGAAUUACCAUGUGCUUCCAAAAAAAGUCAGGUCAAGUAUGAUUUUUGAUUGGCUGACAGAGUAAAACUUUCUACACUCAGUAUAUAGAAAUUAACCUCUAGUUUUUUUCAUUGAUUAUGUUAUUCUUAUAUACACAUGAAGGAUUGCUGAGAAGAAUUCUGAUAAUCCAUCAGAUAAUUAUUUGUUGCCUAGAUUAUGGUUAUUUACCUCCCAUUAGACAAUAGUCUUUCAAUACUAUUGCACACGAUUUUAAACCUUUUGUAUUUUUAUUUUUUAUUUUUGUGAUCACAAAAAUAAAUGAAGUCAUGUUUUAAAAGACCAAGUUCUUUCUUGAAAGAUGAAUAUUUGCAUGGACAAAGUUCUAUAUCAGCAGAAGCACCUAUAUAUAUAAAACUGUAUAUAUAAAUUUUGUUCUAUCUGUAUGCGUUAUUUAAUCUUAACUGUUUUACGAGAAUUUAUAGCCAUCAUUAAUGAUUUAUGGCAGAGGUCUGGUCCCAAAAAUUUCCAGCGUGAUCUGCGGCAUUUACAUCAUUCAGAAGGCGCUGAUGAAUUCCAAAACGUGACCACAUUGUAUAUUUAAAAUUAGAAUCUGAAUAUCUGAGCCUACAAUGGGAACCAACUGGGAAGUCUGCAAUUAUUAUAACAAACAUUUUAUAAGCAAAUUCAAUCCUAAAGAUAGAGCUAAGCUCAACUCCUUGGUAAAAAUUUAUAGGCAAGUGGGAAAACAUGGUAACAAGUUUUAACCCUUGGUCUUUGAGGGGCUAGUUCUUCACUACUUUUAGUUUUAUCAGAAAGCGAAGUCUGAACCAAACAUUUAAGAGGGAAACCACAAAUGGUUCAUAAGUGUCAGAAUUCAGAAAAUUGAUGUCAAGCUUCUCAUGGCUGUGUAGUAGUUGUUGUUGCAGCCUAAUUAUGAGUCUCAUGCCAACUACACCUAGCUCAUUACAUGUCCAAUAUUUCCAAAAUACUUCACUUCAAAGUUUUGAAAUAUCCAAUGAGGAUACCUUCAUUGAAUGAUGUCCAUCCCCAAACAAGAGGGUGGUGUAAUGAGGGUUAGUGCACAUUUAUGAGGUGCAUGUGCCAUGAGAAGUUGAAAGCUGUACAGAUUUUACGGUAAUGAAAUGUCAUUCAAAACCCA